GCUCAUCUUUUGAUUGUUGCUCAGAAGGCGUUAUAUAACCCGCCUUCUAGCAUCAAUCAUAGUCUGGGCAG